rnacentral:lncRNA from 1 species
GCUUUUUUUCUUAUUCCAAAAAAAAUACUUUUUGCUUCAAUGGUUAUUCAUAAAAGAAAUUUCAAAGAGCAAUAGAUAGCGGACAACAGAGACUAUCUUGUCUAUAGUUAUUUAACUUGUUGAACCCAUUGCAACAUACAACAACAAUGGAGAGGAACGCUUCUGAUUAGAUCAUUGAAGAAAUUAUGGACAUACAGAGCAAAGAACACAAUUGCAAGCUUUAUAGCAAAAAUCAUUCCUCAAUUUGUGAUCCGGGAACGCUGGAGAUCGCAGUGUGCAAGUAAGUAUGGUUCUGAGCUCCCUACAUCCAAAGAUCAAUUAGUUUUAUUUUUCAAAAUAUCACCCAGUUAGUCAAACAAAAAUUUGGAAAACGAUAAAGUAAUACAAAGUGGGAGAGAAUUCAAAGUAUGAUGGAAAUCCCUAUAAAUCAGAGUAUGUUGGAAAUCUCUAUAAAUCAGAAAAUAUAUAAGAUUAUCAAAUGGUUUUUACCAUUUGACAAUAUCUAUAAAUCUGAAAAUAUAUAAGAUUAUCAAAUUUUAAAAACACCUCUCGUAUGCAAAAUCAAUAGUGAUGAUAGUUAUGUGGAAGGAUAUUGUAGGGUUGGUGGUACUAUUAGAGAUAGUAGGGGAAAACUCAUCCUCGCAUAAUUUGGUACCUGGUUGAAGAAACCUACAGAGAUUCUGAUCGAUACUGAAGUAGAGCAAGCACGAGUGAGAAGACGAACGCAUAAAAUAUUUUGGAAAGAAUUUUCUGUUCAUUAUCAAUAGAACGGUAAUACAAAUGAGCUAACUACACCUAUGUAUAAUACAAUGCUAGCCGGUGCCAGCUGUCUAACUAACCUCCACUACCUCCACUAUUAACAUAAUUAACUAACAACUAAUUACACUUCACUAACUAACAUAUCUAAGACAUAUUAGAUCGCUAGUGCAUAGUUAGGCAGUUAGUUAAUUCCUUCACACAUACCCCCACCCCCUCAAGCUAGGAGUUAUGAAGAUGUUUUUCAUGCCUAGCUUGGAUAGCAAAUAAUGAUGUUGAGUGAUGCCUAAGCCCUUAGUAAGAAUAUCUACAUGUUGCUCUGAAGAGGGGAGAUGUAUUAGAUGAACGAGCCCAAGUUGCACCUUCUCGAGAAUGAAAUGACAGUCGAUGUCAAUAUGCUUUGUGUGCUCAUAAAACACUUGAUUAGCAUCAAUUUGAAUUUUUGACUUACUGUCACAUAACAAAGAAACUGGUUGUUAAAUAUGCACCCCUAAACUUCUCAAACAAGCCAGUUACCCACACUAUUUCAACAACUUUUGAUGCCAGGCUUCGAUACUAUGCCUCAAUUGAGCUUCUGGAUAUAGUAGUUUGUUUCUUCGACUUCCAUGAGAUCAAAGAGCUCCCAAACUUAAGCAAAUAGCCAGUAAUAGAUCUCCUAGUGUUUGGGCAAGAUUCCCAAUCUGCAUCAUAAUAGGCUGUAAGCUGAGUUGAAGCAUUUGUAGAUAUUAAGAUUCCCAGACCUGGAGACUGCUUGACAUACUUGAUCACCUUGAUGGUAGCCUCCAUAUGCAAUAUUUUAGGACAAUGCAUGAACUGACUCAAUCACUGCACUGCAAAUGCAAUAUCUGAUCUAGUAAUGGUGAGAUAGAGAAGUCUCCCCACCAAUCUUUGAUAAGCACUAGGAUCAUCAAGAACUUUAUCAUCUUUAAUCCCAAACUAAGCGUCAAACUCCAAUGCUGUAAGCUUCUUGUUCACCUCCAAAGGUGCCUUGAAUGGCUUUGCACUUGAGAGUCCCAUGUCUGAUAUGAGUUUAAUGCAUAUUUUCUUUGAUGCAUAAGAAUUCCCUCUUUGCUUCUAGCAAAUUCAAUUCCUAAGAAAAACAUCAGCUCCCCCAAGUCCUUGAUCUUAAAGACUUGUUGUAGGUACUCUUUAGUCUCCUGUAUUAAGUUGGCGCUAUCCACUAUGAUUAACAGGUCAUCAACAUAAACUAAGACCAGUACUAUUUUCCUUUGAACCUUUAUGGUGAACAAGGAAUAAUCUAAAUGACUGAAAGAAUCCAGAAGCUAUCAAAGCAGAUGUUAACUUGAUGUUCCACUGCCGAGAAGCUUUCUUAAUCCCAUAUACUGAUUUGAGUAGUCGACACACUUGAUGUUGUCCUUCACAAACAAAAUCCUGAGGCAACUCCACAUAAGUUUCUUCAGUUAAAUCACCUUGUAGAAAAGAAUUGUAAACAUCCAUUUGAUGAAUUUCCCAGUUAUUCAUUGUUGCUAGGGAAAUAACAGUCCUCAUUGUUACCAUCUUGACAACAGGUGAGAAUGUUUCUUGAUAAUCCAAUCCCUCUCUUUGGCUAUGCCCUUUUGUGACUAACCUUGCCUUAAACCUUUCCACUUCACCUGUAGAUUUGUAUUUAAUCUUGUAUACAUAUCGAUAACCAAUGGCCCUUUUUCCUUGGGAUAAAUACAUCAUUGUCCAUGUAUUGUUGUCUUGCAAUGCCUUGAUCUCAUUCUGCAUUGCCUCUAUCCAUAUGUCAUCCUUGACUGCUUCUGUAUAGUUUUUGGGCUCAACUUCUGUAGAGAAUUUGGUGAUGAAGCUUUGAUAUUUGGAGGAUAAGGAGUCAUAACUAAUGACAUCUGAGAUUGGGUACAAACAAACAUGUACCCCUGACUAUUUGUCAGUCCUCACAUAAUCUUUAAGACAAAUAGAUGGCUUAGUUUUCUCCCUGAUCUUCUUUCUGCCAAUGUUAUUGUUUGAUGUUCUACUAUUGCUCCUGUGUGUUUAAUUGAAUUUGUCACAGCUUCAUAUGGGGCAUGAGAAUCAUGGUUCUAUAGAUCAAUAUCUGCUGAUGCACCUGGAAUUUGAUGUGAAGUAGAAUAUGCAACAUUUUGAUCAUGCAGAAUGUUUCUACUUGCAAUAUCCAACUCAUCCACCACACAAAACCUUUUCAAGCUUGCAAUGUCAGAACUUUGAAAGUUUUACCUUUCAUGAGUAUCCUGAAAAGGAAAUAUGCUCUCAUGAAAUACAACAUCUCUACUAAUAAAACACGCUUUGUUAAUCAAAUUAGUAGUUUGUAUCCUUUUUUAUAAACUCCAUAUCCCAACAACACUAAUUUCACUGCUCUUAGACCAAACUUGUCAUGUUUAGGCAAAUAGUUGCAUAACAAAGGCAACCUAUCAACCUCAUAUGAGCCAAAGAAGGUGUCAUGUUGUACAAUACUUCAAAAGGAGAUCUUCCAUUCAAAAUAGUAGAUUGUACCCUGUUUAUUAUAUAUGUUGUUGCUUCAACACAUGUACCAAAGAAUCGAAUUGGAGUCGUUUCUAGGAUGUGCCUAUGUUUGCUUUCCACCACUUCAUUCUGCUAAGGAGUAUAAGGACAUGAACUCUAAUGCAAAAUCCCAUGACAUGUAAACAAUUCCUUACAAGUCAUGUUAAAAAAUUCAGAUCCAUUGUCUAACCUGAAGACUUUAAUCAUCUUUCCAAUUUGAUUAAGGAUCAUUGCAAUAAAUGUUUUAAGAAACUCAGAUAAUCAGAUUUUACUCUCAUUAAGAAAAUCCAUGUCCACCUUGUAUGAUCAUCUACCAAUGUCAAAAACUAAUUUAUUUCAUUAUAGGUUAGGACCUUAUAAGGGCCCCAUACAUCCAUGUGUAUCGAAUCAAAAGGUUCAUCUGCUCGACUAAUACUAACAGAGAGUGGAAAUCUUAUUUGUUUAGACAAUGGACACACAUCACAAUGAUGUAAAUGAAAAGCAUCUUUAUUUCUAAAACUAUAAAUCUUUCUAAUAACUAACAUGGGCACAUGGCCUAAUCUCCUGUGCCAAAUCUCAUGUUCUUCCAUCUGUUCCACUAUCAUAGCCUUUGCUCUAUCUAUUCUAGCUUCCUUAUGGUGUGUCCUUAGAAUGUACAAAUCAUCAUCCUUACAACCAGUCAUCUUCACUUUUCCAGUGCAAAGAUCCUAAAAUAUGAAGUGUCCAGAAAACAACAUUACAUAUCAAUUGAGUUCCUUUGUCAAUUUAGACACUAACAAUAGAUUGAACUUAAAAUUUGGCACACAAAGCACAUCAUUAAGGGUAUCACCUCCUCCCAAAGGUAUGUUUCCUAUCUUAGUCACUUUAGUAGACUCUCAUGUGGGCAUUUGCACAGUUUCAGCACUUCCUACUGUACCAUCAUCCAACAGCAAACUUUCAUUUCUUGUCAUAUGAUUCCACUAUCCAAUAUAUUGCAUAAUCUUUAACAAGAAAAUGCGUACCUACUAAAUUUGCAUUUGCUUUAGAAGUGGAAGUCUUACUCAGCAUGUUGAAUAGCAUAUUGUAUUGUUCCUGUGUGAUCAUUGGAGAAGCAAUGUUGGCAGAAUUGAUGUUUCCAUGAUUGGUUGCACUAGCCUCAGACUGCAUAGAAUGUCUAUCCACCACAUUAGCUCUGGCCUUGGACUUAAAACCUGCAGGGUAUCAAAUCAGAUUGUAGUAGUUUUCCUUAAGAUGGCCCUUCUUGUUACAGUAGCCACAAUGCAUCAGCUUGAAACAUCCAUCUCUUGUGUGACCCUUUCCAUGACAAUAGUCACAUUCUAUACCCCAACUUCUCUUCUGCUUAGGCAUAUUAUUUUUGGCUGUGAAUAAUGCAGCUGACUCUAUUGUUUCAUUUGUGACAUAGUUACUUCCUGCCACCAGCUUUUGGCUCUCAUCCUGAAUUAUCAAGACAUACGCUUGAUUCACAUUAAUCACUUCAGAUUUCAUUAAGAUUUGACUCCUUGCCUGACUAUAACUUUCAUUUAGUCCCAUUAGAAACUGUAAUAGGAGUUGAUACUGUAAAUGCACUACAAAAUAUUUUGAUUUCUCACAUUCAUAUGAAGGAGGUGGCAUCAUUGAGUCAUACUCGUCGCAUAAAUCCUUCAACCUCGAAUAGUACACUGACACAGAUGAUGUUCCUUUUGUUAAAGUAAAGAUCUCCUUAUGAAGAGAAUACAAACGUGAUCCAUUCACUUUAUUGAACCUCUCCUGCAGUUCUUCCAAACUAAGAGUGCAUUAAAACUAAAUAGAAUUCCACUAAGCAAUUCUUUGCUCACGUUUCCAGUAAGCCAUGAGACUACUAUUGCAUUACACUAUCCCACUGAUGUCCUAAAGCUAGUCCAAAAGUAUCCCUAGCGAUUGUGCCAUCAAUAAAACCUAGCUUAUUUCUUCUUAGGAGUGAAACUCUCAUUGCUCGAUCCUACAAAGUGUAGUUUUUCAUUCCUAUAAGCUGAAUACCAACUGAUAAGGACCUGGGGGCAUCAGAAGGAUAAAGAUAGAGGGGAUGAUUGUGAUCAAGUUCCUGAAUCAGAUCAAUUCUCAAUCGCCAUGAUUAUACAUUAAAAAUUCACUCAAUUACGGAUGAAGAGAAGAAUCUCUAGUCAAAACAAAAAUCAGAAACAAAAUUUAUCAAUUGAAUCUAGGGCUUGUUACAACUCACAUUAGAAACCGUUUUUCUUAUUAUUGUCAAUAAAUCUUUCGAUCGCCUUCAAUCCGCGAAGAACAAUCCUUAGAUCUUACUGACGAGACCUCGCUCUGAUACCAUGAAGAAACCUACACAGAUUUUGAUCGAUACUGAAGCAGAGCAAGCACGAGUGAGAAGAAGAACACAUGCAAGAUUUUGGAGAGAAUUUUCUGUUCAUUAUCUAUGGAACAGUAAUACAAAUGAGCUAACUACACCUAUAUAUAAUAUAAUGCUAGUUGGUGGUAGCUGUCUAACUAACCUCCACUACUAACAUAAAUUUAACUAACAACUAAUUACACUUCACUAUCUAACAUAGCUAAAACAGAUUAGUUUGUUAGUGCAGAGUUAGGCAGUUAAUUAAUUCCUUCACACUGGUACUAGUAAUUGAGCGGAAGGCCAGACUGUGCUAACUAGAUUACAAAAGGUUGUCGCAAUGGGAAUAAAUGAAAUGAUUUUAGAACCAGAUUCUCGUGUGUUCAUUAAAAGAGGAAGCAGAUAUACCAUGGAGGCUCCUAAAACAGUGAACAAGAUCAAAAAAAUUGUGGAGGAAAAGAAGGUGACAGUGAAGCACUGCUACAGAGAAGCCAAUAGAAUUGCCGAUAGACUAGCCGCCAUUAGCCACACAGACAAACAACACAUCACUACUUCAAAUUCUGAAGCAUUAUCGAGACAAAUUAGGGGGUUACUACAACUUGAUAGAUUGGAAUUGGCAGUGUUUCGAGUCAGACAAUUGAAAGCCUCAGAAAUCCAAUUUGAUUCUCCAUGAUAGUUUUGGAGCUGGUGCAAUGCCACUUUUGUUUCCCUUAUGCUUUAAUCAAAAGUAGGGAUCUUUUUCCUCUCAAAUCUACUCAAUUUUUCUGGAAUUUCAAUAAAGGCCGCACAAUUUUGUUUUGAAAAAAAAAAAGUAUAUAUCGACGAGUUAGUAAGGUAUUCAAUUCCAAUUGUUGAAGAUACGAUAGUCCAAAACUACGAAUUUGGACAUAUUUUGGAGCCAAUUCAACAGUGCUUAUUAAACAUGUACCGUUGACAGAGAUGAUGUUAAUUCUUGAUGUAUUAAUAUUAUUAGUGACGAAGUCAGGAAAUUCAAUAAGGGUAUUCAAUUUGAACACCCUUUGUCAGUGGACUAUGCAAGGGUGUUUAAAAUCUAUUUUUAAUCAAUAACAAGUAAUAUUUGACCUUAUAUGUGAUAUAAUUUUUCGACAAGGAUGGUCAGUUGACCACUCUUCAACCAAAAUAGCUUCGCCCCUUAAUAUCAUACACAAACCUAAUUGCAGGAGGGCAUUGGGAAUAAGAGAAAGAGAUAGAAGAAACACUCAUUAUCAAACUUCAUUAAAAACGGCAAAAAAAUGUAUACGUACAAACUUCAUAUAAUUGUUGAGAAACUUGAGCACAAAAAAUCCUUUUUUACUCAAGAAAUGAAUACAAUAUAAUGCAUUAUUGUCUCUCUUUUCUUCUUUGUCAACCUUUAAUUUGCCGUAUUCCUACAUUUUCAAUGGCAAUAUCCAAAUUUUAGCAUUUUGGAAGAUAUUUUGGAGGUGGCAAAAGUGACUCAUUAGGACCUUUGCCAUUAUCUACAAGAAAUGCCAUCUUCAAUCCCCAUGGUGUAUGCACCUCUAAAUGGCAAUGCAUUAACCAUACUCCUGCAAUUUCAUAAAAUAUUUAACAACCAUUAUAUAGGUGUCAUGAAUUUAACUAAUAUACACUGAUAAGGCAGCUUGGUACACUAAGCUUUUGUGAUAUGUAGGGUUCGAGGAAGGGACGGACCACAAGAGUCUAUUGUAUGCAACCUUACCUUGCAUUUCUACAAAAGACUAUUUUCACAGCUCGAACCCGUGACCUCUUGGUCACAUAGCAUCAAGUUUUACGCAAGGCUCCCCUUCUAAGUUAUAUACACCGAUAUGACAAAAAAAUAACAUGUUGUUACUUCAUUUUUUCUAUAGUAUACCUGGAUUGUCAGCGCGAAAUCUUAUAGCUAACCAUCCUCCAGCAGGAACUCCAAUUGUAUUCCUCUCAACAGGAUCAACAAGAUUAAAUUUCUUUGGAUCUGUUUUUGAAUUAAAAUUUCCUAGCCCUUUACCCACAGCAAAGAAAUUAAAUCCAUGAAAAUGGAUAGGAUGGUUUUCUGGAGCUAUAAUUCCAGUAUCCUGCAAAACUAAUUGAACUGUUGCAUUAUAUGGCAACCUGUAAACCUUCGUCCCGCUCGUCGUAGCCAAGUUUACUGGUGGUUUUCCAGUAUAGUUGAAUUUAAUUGGAGGAUUUUGAGGAAAAUCUGUUGUGUAAACUCCUUUGAUACCAAAGAAAUGUGCUUGUAAAAGUGCUUUAGUUGGCAUAACAAAUGUGACAUUGUUUAUACUAGCAACAACUCUGCUUCCAUUACCUUGUUUGCAACUUACAUGGAUUAAUUCCUAACCCUACUGUGAAAAACAACGAAUGAUCCACAUUUUUUGGAACUUUAGCAGGGUAUUUUUUCGAGUUGAGGCUUCGAAGAGAGUCUACAAAAUUGUUAGCCACAGGGGUCGCAUUUUUGGGCGGAGUGUUUGUUAGGGUUGUGACUG